CAGUCGCCGCGGUAAUACAGAGGGUGUGAGCGUUAAUCGGAUUUACUGGGCGUAAAGCGUGCGUAGGCGGCUUCUUAAGUCGGAUGUGAAAUCCCUGAGCUUAACUUAGGAAUUGCAUUCGAUACUGGGAAGCUAGAGUAUGGGAGAGGAUGGUAGAAUUCCAGGUGUAGCGGUGAAAUGCGUAGAGAUCUGGAGGAAUACCGAUGGCGAAGGCAGCCAUCUGGCCUAAUACUGACGCUGAGGUACGAAAGCAUGGGGAGCAAACAGGAUUAGAUACCCGCGUAGUCCCUGUCUCUUAUAC
rnacentral:rRNA from 1 species